UGCUUCCCAGGCCACUGCCACCUCCAAGCAAGGGGGUGGUAGAUGGGAAUGAGAGAAUUCUUCCUCUCUUCCUGUGUACAUUAGUUAAACAACUAUCUUUUUCUUUUAGGACAUAAUAAGACUAAUUUUUUCUCUAUUUUAGCUAAUUGAGCCCCUAUCUUGGGAGAAACAGCAGGAAGAAACUGACUACCCAGAAUCUGACAACCAGCUCUGAAAAUUCCUGUGAACUUGAGCAGUCAGCCCUUGGGAGCUGUUAGGAGUCAACUCCAGCAUUGUGGCUCCCCCAUGCCCAGCAGGAGACUGACGGAGAGGCUUCCAGAGCCGCGCUAACGUGGGGAGAAAGGGAUCCGAUCCGGGCUGUGUCUUUGGAGCACCUUCCUACUGUGCAUGGGGGCACCAUUGUAGCUCCCCACCUGGAUUUGAACCCAUGACUUCUUCGCUGGGCGAUUCUCUGGAAGCCAUCAAGUUCUCCCAAGUUUCCAGGUGUCGAUUGUUACCUAAGAAGGCAUACAACACCCAGUGUCAUUGAGUCUCAUGGUCAGAUGAGUCGGGGCAGGGAAGCUGGCUGCUUCCUGAGGUCUGCGGUCCCCGUGGGGAGGACUUGAAGGACUGAGCACUGAAGCAGCCUGGGGCUGGCUGGGGUCUUCCCACUAUACAUGUCCCCGGGGUUUCAAAGAGUUCAUGGAAAAUGUGUGUUGUGAAAAAACUACAUGGGGGCCAGCGCCAUGGCUCACUUGGUUGAUCCUCUGCCUGUGGCGCUGGCAUCCCAUAUGGGUGCCGGAUUCUGUCCCUGUUGCUCCUCUUCCAGUCCAGCUCUCUGCUGUGGCCCAGGAGGGCAGUGGAGGAUGGCCCAAGUGCUUGGGCCCUGCACCUGCAUGGGAGACUGGGAGGAAUUACCCGGCUCCUGGCUUCGGAUCGGCCCAGCACCGGUCGUAGCGGCCAUUUGGGGGGUGAACCAACGGAAGGAAGACCUUUCUCUCUGUCUCUCUCUCUCUCUCUCAUUAUCUAACUCUAUCUGUCUUAAAAAAAAAACUACAUGGAUUUCAAAAUUUCUUGUGGGGCCAGCAUUGUGGCGCAGUAGGUUAAGCCACUGCCUGCGACUUGGGCAUCCUGUGUGAGUGCCAGUUCUAGUCCUGGUUGCUCCACUUCUGAUCCAGCUCCCUGCUAAUGCACCUGGGAGAGCAACGGAAGACAGCGCAAGUGCUUGAGCUCCUGCCACCCACAUGGGAGACCAGGAUGGAGUUUCAGGCUCCUGGCUUCGGCUUGGCCAGUCCUGGCCAUUUAGGGAAUGAACCAGAGGAUGAAGGCCUCUCUCUCUCUCUCUCUUUCUCUCUCUCUCUUUCUAACUCUGCCUUUCAAAUAACUAUACGUCUUUUUUUUUUUUUUUAAAAAGCAUAAAGAUUUAAAAAAUUUUCUUGUACCAACAUAAAUUUACCUUUUAAUUCUGUAAGUGCCCUCAUAUCUCAGGUGGGGAUGUAGCAUGCAUGUGUGUCUGUGUAGGUGUAUGUCUAUGUGGACAUGUUUAUACACAUAUGUUAUACACACUAUUAUACAGGCUAUACACUAUAUAUAGAUCAUCAUAUAGACUAUAUAGAAGCUACCAUCUAGACUACAUAAGACAGACUCUUCUUGCAGGCCGGGGACCGGGACUAUCUUGUUUUGCACUGUACACACCCAGCACUGCACACAGUAACCAGUACACAGAGGAUUCUCAACUGUGUUUGUGGGAUAAAAGAAAGAAUUGCUCUCAAGUCUCCAGGGUGUGCGUGGGCAAAAGAUAGGCAGCGAUGAAAGCAAGAAGGGCCAGGGUUGGGGGGAGACAGCCCCCUGAAGGGGCCUUCUCCACAGUCACCCCUGAAGUGGGA